rnacentral:rRNA from 1 species
AGAGUUUGAUCAUGGCUCAGAUUGAACGCUGGCGGCAGGCCUAACACAUGCAAGUCGAGCGGUAGCACAGAGAGCUUGCUCUCGGGUGACGAGCGGCGGACGGGUGAGUAAUGUCUGGGAAACUGCCUGAUGGAGGGGGAUAACUACUGGAAACGGUAGCUAAUACCGCAUAACGUCGCAAGACCAAAGUGGGGGACCUUCGGGCCUCAUGCCAUCAGAUGUGCCCAGAUGGGAUUAGCUAGUAGGUGGGGUAACGGCUCACCUAGGCGACGAUCCCUAGCUGGUCUGAGAGGAUGACCAGCCACACUGGAACUGAGACACGGUCCAGACUCCUACGGGAGGCAGCAGUGGGGAAUAUUGCACAAUGGGCGCAAGCCUGAUGCAGCCAUGCCGCGUGUGUGAAGAAGGCCUUCGGGUUGUAAAGCACUUUCAGCGGGGAGGAAGGCGUUAAGGUUAAUAACCUUGUCGAUUGACGUUACCCGCAGAAGAAGCACCGGCUAACUCCGUGCCAGCAGCCGCGGUAAUACGGAGGGUGCAAGCGUUAAUCGGAAUUACUGGGCGUAAAGCGCACGCAGGCGGUCUGUCAAGUCGGAUGUGAAAUCCCCGGGCUCAACCUGGGAACUGCAUUCGAAACUGGCAGGCUAGAGUCUUGUAGAGGGGGGUAGAAUUCCAGGUGUAGCGGUGAAAUGCGUAGAGAUCUGGAGGAAUACCGGUGGCGAAGGCGGCCCCCUGGACAAAGACUGACGCUCAGGUGCGAAAGCGUGGGGAGCAAACAGGAUUAGAUACCCUGGUAGUCCACGCCGUAAACGAUGUCGAUUUGGAGGUUGUGCCCUUGAGGCGUGGCUUCCGGAGCUAACGCGUUAAAUCGACCGCCUGGGGAGUACGGCCGCAAGGUUAAAACUCAAAUGAAUUGACGGGGGCCCGCACAAGCGGUGGAGCAUGUGGUUUAAUUCGAUGCAACGCGAAGAACCUUACCUGGUCUUGACAUCCACAGAACUUUCCAGAGAUGGAUUGGUGCCUUCGGGAACUGUGAGACAGGUGCUGCAUGGCUGUCGUCAGCUCGUGUUGUGAAAUGUUGGGUUAAGUCCCGCAACGAGCGCAACCCUUAUCCUUUGUUGCCAGCGGUUCGGCCGGGAACUCAAAGGAGACUGCCAGUGAUAAACUGGAGGAAGGUGGGGAUGACGUCAAGUCAUCAUGGCCCUUACGACCAGGGCUACACACGUGCUACAAUGGCAUAUACAAAGAGAAGCGACCUCGCGAGAGCAAGCGGACCUCAUAAAGUAUGUCGUAGUCCGGAUUGGAGUCUGCAACUCGACUCCAUGAAGUCGGAAUCGCUAGUAAUCGUAGAUCAGAAUGCUACGGUGAAUACGUUCCCGGGCCUUGUACACACCGCCCGUCACACCAUGGGAGUGGGUUGCAAAAGAAGUAGGUAGCUUAACCUUCGGGAGGGCGCUUACCACUUUGUGAUUCAUGACUGGGGUGAAGUCGUAACAAGGUAACCGUAGGGGAACCUGCGGUUGGAUCACCU